AAGGAAUAUUGGACAAUGGGCGCAAGCCUGAUCCAGCCAUGCCGCGUGAAGGAUGACGGCCCUAUGGGUUGUAAACUUCUUUUAGCAGGGAAAAAACCCCUCGAUGCGUCGGGGGCUGAUGGUACCUGCAGAAUAAGGAUCGGCUAACUCCGUGCCAGCAGCCGCGGUAAUACGGAGGAUCCAAGCGUUAUCCGGAUUUAUUGGGUUUAAAGGGUGCGUAGGCGGAUAAAUAAGUCAGUGGUGAAAGCCUGCAGCUUAACUGUAGAAUUGCCAUUGAUACUGUUUAUCUUGAAUAUAGUUGAGGUGGGCGGAAUAUGACAUGUAGUGGUGAAAUACUUAGAUAUGUCAUAGAACACCGAUUGCGAAGGCAGCUCACUAAGCUAUGAUUGACGCUGAGGCACGAAAGCGUGGGGAGCAAAC
rnacentral:rRNA from 1 species